rnacentral:rRNA from 1 species
UACGGGGGGAGCAAGCGUUGUUCGGAUUUACUGGGCGUAAAGGGCGCGUAGGCGGUCAGCACAAGUCAGUUGUGAAAUCUCCGGGCUUAACUCGGAAAGGUCAACUGAUACUGUGCGACUAGAGUGCAGAAGGGGCAACUGGAAUUCUCGGUGUAGCGGUGAAAUGCGUAGAUAUGCGGAGGAACACCGAUGGCGAAGGCAAUCCCCUGGGCCUGCACUGACGCUCAUGCACGAAAGCGUGGGGAGCAAACAGG